rnacentral:lncRNA from 1 species
GUGUAUAUGUGUAUAUAUAUAGUACAUGUGUGUGAUAUAUGUGUAUGUGUGUGUGAUAUAUGUGUAUGUAUGUGUGUUGUAUGUAUAUGUGUAUAUGUAUAUGAUCAUUAUAUAUGUGUGUGUGGUAUAUAUGUAUAGGGCGGUGUGUGUAUGUGUAUGUGUGUGUGUGUGUGUGUGUGUGUGUGUGUGUUCACCUAUGUGUACAAAUGUAGAGGUCAGAAGUCAAACAUUGGGUGUCUCCUUCUAUGGAUGAAGCCCCGGCCAGUUUUAUGUCACUGCUGGUGUGAAGCAGUGAACAGUGACCCAGCAUGCAUCCAGGUGGCGGGACAGAGUCAGACUCUCCAGGGCAGAGAGACUCUAAAACUGACGGCCAGGUCUUGCUCAGACUACGGGCCUGAGGGAAGAUCCAAGACUGAAACAGGUGCCGGAGAUUACAUCCAGGUUGCUGGUCUUGGUGGUGAACAAUACCCUUGCUUACCCCCAAGCCUUCUCACUAACCCUGACGCUCUUUAUACAGGGCUUGGAAUGGAGGGGGUGGAGUUGAGGAGAUCACAGAGGACCUAGGAGUGUGUGUAUCGGAGAGAGAUAGGAAACCACUGACCGUUCAGCACACAUUCAGAAUUACUGCCUGUCCCAGGGAGGGACCCACAGCUCCGGCGCUCCGUUCAGCAUCUGGAAGAGCAUAGCUCGCUGUGAGCGGCCGCCCCAGAAGACUGUAUCCCAC